AUUGAGUGCCAGGGAGCCCUGCCCAAGGACAUGGCGUGCAAGAUGUUCCACCAACUCUCCUCAGCCAUUAAAUACUGCCACGACCUGGACAUCGUGCACCAGAACCUCAAGUGUUAGAACCUUCUCCUCGACAAGGACUUCAACAUCAAGCUGUUCUACUUCAGGUUCUCCAAGCUCUGCCUGCGGGAUGACAGUGGCCAACAGAGAUUAAGCAAGAACUUCUGCGGGUUGGUGGCAUAUGCAGCCCCCGAGCUGCUGCAGGGCAUCCCCUACCAGCCCAUGGUGUAUGACAUCUGGAGCCUGGGCAUGAUCCUCUACAUCAUGGUCUGCAGCUCCAUGCCUUACGACGACUCCAACAUCAGGAAGAUGCUGCGUAUCCAGAAGGAGCACCGCAUGGACUUCCCACACUCCAAGAACCUGACAGACGAGUGCAAGGACCUCAUCUACUGCAUGCUGCAGCCCGACGUCAGCCAGCGGCUGCACAUCCAUGACACCCUCAGCCAAUGCUGGGUGCAGCCCAAGGCACAAGGACUGCCCUCUAUGGUCUUCAACAAGGAGGGGGAAAGCUCCCAGGGAACUGAACUCUUGUGGACCCCUGAACCUGGCUCUGCCAAGAGGUCUGCCACCAAGCUGGAGCCUGGGGAACAGACACAGCCCGAGGGACAGCCUGAGACAAAACCUGAGGGGUUGGCAAUGCAAAUGUCCAGGCAGUCGGACAUCCUAGGCUUCCCCAGCAAGCCGUCGACCAGGAAGAAAGAGGAAGGGCCCCCC
rnacentral:sRNA from 1 species